rnacentral:sRNA from 1 species
CAUGGCUUCAGGGUAAACAAGUCUUCAAAUGAUGGCCCACCCCGCUUCCGUUCUUGCCGAACACUGCCUUCGUUCGUUGGACAAGGGGUAGCGGCUAAGGGUAAUACAGAACGACCCAGGCCUAGGUGCAGAUGACAUUGAAUAUAGAAGGGCUUUUUUGCAACCUGCUUCCAAAAUACUCUGUCAUAAUCUGUGGGAUCCUCAGCUUCCUACUACAGACUAGCACCCCACACGAGUGGAUAUAAACCCCAGAAGAUAGCACUCAAUACAACUACUCAGACUUCCAACAAAAUCACCUUGCCUAAUUAGUCAGAAAAAGCCAUUGUUUCUUGCGAAGGUUUUGCGCGUUGCUUCAUUCGCAAUCCUUUUGAUUUUCCUGAUUAGGCUCAAGACCAUGAUCAAGCAUUCCUUGGCAGCUUUACCAGAGCCCUCUUAGGUGGCUUGGGCGUCACUAUUCAUAGAAGGAAUGCCACAUCUAUCGACACUGGAAUAGCAUGUAAUCGUGCCUUCGCGCUGCCAACACCUGCGAUCCGAACAUCGAUUGUUUCUCGAAGGAACACUGAGAUUUAAUGAGGGGUGCAUUUAAAGUUCACCACAUUUGAAAGUCUGCGCAUGGUAUGCGAUGCGGGUGAAGUAAUUCCGGGAUAAUAGCAGACUGUCCAUCACUUACUGAAGGAAUGCGCUGAUACCGUGGUGGUUAGAAUGGUGAGGAGGAAAUGGCGCAAUAUACUUGGGUGGGAGCAUUGCAGACCUGGCCCGUAUUCUCUUCUCGUAUAUUACGGAGUACAGUGGCAGAGAUUAGCGUGGCCAGGUGAGGGCCGAACAAUCUCAUUCAGGAUGAGUUGACGAAGAUGGAGUCCAUCCUGGGACAAUGAAGCCAGCCUCUCAGAUUUAGGGGUUGUGGCUCUCGUUCAGCCCAGCCAUGAUGUUGUAAGAGGG